rnacentral:lncRNA from 1 species
UGUUUUUUUUUUUUUUUUUUUUUUUGACAGGGUCUUGCUGUAUUAAUAGCCCAGGCUGAAAUGCAGUGGUGUGAUCACGGCUCUCUGUAGCCUUGACCUCCUGGCCUCAAGCAAUCCUCCCACCUUAGCCUCACAGGUAGCUGGGACUACAUGCAUGUGCCACCACACCUGGCUAAUUUUUAAAUGUUUUGUACAGACUGGUGGAGGUUCGGGGGAGGUGCAUGGUCACGUUCUGUUGCCUAGGCUGGUCUGGAACUCUUGGAUUCGAGCGAUCCUUCUGCCCCAGCCUUUCAAAUGCUGGGAUUUACAGCCGUGAGCCACUGUGUCUGGGCUUAUCCCUCACUUUUAAAAGCAGAGCUAAGAUACCACUUGGCCCCACCUCUGCAGAGCCAGUUAAGGAAAUGGGUUUUUCAAGUCCAGUGCCCUUGGUAGAGAAGGAUCAUUGGUGUCAAUGGACUGGGGCCAGUGGAACCAGCUGACCCAAUCUUCAGAGGAAACCCAAUCUUCCCCUUGGCCCAGUAACCAUGGAGACAACCCCAAGCAUGACCUGCUCACACCCCAACUCCAGAGUGGGCAGAAUUCACAUGGAUGGACUCCCUCAAGUUCUCCAGACACAUACAGGUUUCUCUAAGAAGUCACUCAAACUUGGUAUUAAAAAAAAAAAAAUCUUUGCUUCCAUCAGCUCCUAUUCCAGCUGAAGGACAGUGGUCCUGACUCAGCCCCCAGCAGGAUUUCCUGACCCCUUUACCACAUACUGUCUGACUUUCCACCCAUGGCUGUUCAACAACUGAGCCAGUUUCAAAAAAGGUCUGUCCCGUCUCCAGAGAGACAGGCCGGACUAUGACAUCAUUCAUUAUGGGUGUGCACACUGGAACUGGCCUUGAAUCCCAGCUCUGCCCUCCGCAUGGGCCAUGAGUUUGGCAAAGUAACUUCUCAAUGCCUCAGUUUUCUGUGCUGUAAAAUGGACACAAUGAUAGUGCCUUCUUCUUAGGGCUAUUGCAAGGAUGAAGUGAGUUAACACGUGAGGUGCUGAAGAUGGGCUCCGUCAUGUAGUUUUUCAAUAGGAGAUCUGUUAUUACCAUUGGGAGCAGUCAACACGGUUAAGGAUGGUGACAGUCAACCCCUCACCUCUCCACUUGCAAAGUGCCUUCCUCCAUAGACAGAGCGUCCCUCUGCCUCAGGCACUGGUUUUUGGUGGAGACUCUGUUAGCAACUCGCCCUCACCCCAAAGAUAAAAGGGCUACAGGCCAGGGCACAGCGGCUCACGCCUGUAAUCCCAGCACUUUGCGAAGCUGAGGCGAGCAGAUCAUUUGAGGCCAGGAGUUCAAGACCAGCCUGGCCAACAUGGUGAAACCCCAUUUCUACUAAAAAUACAAAAAUCAGCCAGGCGUGGUGGCAUGUGCCAGUCAUCCUAGCUACUUGGGAGGCUGAAGCAGGAGAAUCACUCGAACUCAGGAGGUGAAGGUUGCAGUGAGCUGAGAUCGCGCCGCUGCACUCCAGUCCGGGCAAGAGAGCCAGACCCUGUCUCAAAGUUAAAUGAAAAUUUAAAGGGCUACAGGCCACUGGACCACAAGACCUUGUUAUGAAAGGUGGAAAAAAAUUUAAACCCACUUGCCACACCUACGCUCUGCCAUGCUGUGGGACCAAAGAUUAAUAUACUGCCUCUUUUCAUGUGAUUUCAGGGGGAGUCUGCAGGCGGCCUGUGCACUUGCCUGUCCUUACCUAACCUGGACGUUACGGCAGAGUUGCUAAGCUCUUUACCCCUUGCCCUCAGUGCAGAUCUGUAUUUGAAUUAUCUUUUUUUAAGUACUACCAGUCUUCGUAGGUUUAUUGUCUCCGGACAGUGCAGGAAGAGGGAGCGACCGAGAAUUCUGCUUUCUGCAGAUGGAAUUCUGCCUCAUGUUACUAAGCCCUUAAUAUCAAGGUCCUCUAGUCCGCUGAAAUCUACUUUCUUUCUCUCUUCUGAGGAAAGCCAAUUUGAAACCAUUUUCCAGGGAAGACAGCAAGGAGAUUUACGCUGACGGCGGUGGAGAGGCUCAGGCAGUCAGCGAUGGAGGAGGCUCAGGCAGUGACUGGGGUGUGCUGCCAAGGGACGGAUCUAACAUCACAAGCCAGGGUCUAGGAGCUGACACCCACACCGUGUAAAUGACAGAAACGACAACGUUCCAUUCUUAAAUCAAGCUGUAUUGAUAAUGCUGAUUUAGCAGGAACCACUCUAAAAAUCAGAAACAAUUAGAAUGCCUUCCCCAUCGAAUUAUUUUAUUAGGUUAAUUAAACAGCUUAAAGAUGAUUCAUUUUGUGUGGUACCCUUCUAGAAAAUAUUUCAAGUUUUUAAAUGAACUUCCAAUACAUAAAACAAAAUUAGUUUAGCAUAUACACAAAUUUCAGAUCAAAAUACAACACUCUGUUUCUGUUUUCUUACAGUUAUAAAAUCCAGUCAAUACAAACUACAUAAAAAAGAUAAAACACUUUCACUGAUCCUUGGUACAAGAGAACAGCAUGAUGGCAAAACGUUCCCCAAGCACAGGUCCUGGGUUCAUGAAAAGGGACCAACCCCACAAUAUACUGAAGCAUGGAAACAAAGUGCGUGCCACUUCAGUUAGGUUAACAAAUGCUUUUUGCAUCAGUAUUACUUGUAAACCAUAAAGCAACUUUUUAAAAGAAAGGUUAUUAAUUAAAAAUUACUUCUGACUGCUAAAUUUCUUACCAGCAAGUGAAUAGAAAAUUAUUCCACAAAACAAACUAAUACCUUUGGACCACAGGAUGUGAGACGUGACAUUUCAAUGAAAUCAACUUAGCACAACUUCUCUACUAUCCUACUGAACUUGGGGAGUACAAUUUUAUAAGUCGCAGCCUUCUAGCACUUCCAGUAUUUUGACCUUUCUAAACCUGCCUUCCAUUUAGCUAUUAUUUUCAUUGCAAAUCCCUGUUUUUCAGGAGUAGGACUUUAUUAAAGAUAGGAUAAUAUCACACACAAUAUAAUCUUAACUGAAUAUCUGUCUAGGUAGACCUAUUUGGAAUUCUACUAGAUAAUCAAGUUGCAGGAUUUAAAGGAAAUACUAUUCUGCAGGUCCCAUGUCGGAAAACACAGAUAUGUCCAACAGGUUUGUGUUGAACAAGAUGAGUUUUGGUGUGGUAUUUAUAUGGUAUUCAUGGCAUUUUCCUUAUAGUAUUCAAAGCAUCAAAAUGACAAACCACGACUGCUAAAACCAGUCUUGGACAAAGGUGACAGUCACAUAUUCGAGGGUCCAGCACAACACUGGCAUGAGCCAACAGGAGCCAUGCCAGCCACCUGCUGGGCCAGGGACCACUGCAAACAGCAGCCCUGAAUUAGGGAGGGUCAAAUUGAAUUUACGAAUCUUGUUUUCAGAAUUUCCUUGACGGUUCUCUUUCAUGGCAGAAGACCCACACCCGUGAUGGAAAAUGAAACAAUGUACACACUUCUAGUGUGUCAUGAAUGGACUUCACUCGCAGAUCGGUACAGACAUCACUGUCACUAGUAACACAGCAGGGAGUCUGCCCGCGCCUACC